CGAACUGAAACUUCGCAACAUCCAAAACCUUUAGCUGACAAAUGAAAAUGUGCUUGAGGGUUGGGAAAGGCUGUAAGAAUGGGCCUUUCUAGUAGGAAUAAUACAGAGUUAUAUGUUCCGAUUAUCAAUUAUCAAUUUGUAUUCAAAAUACCUGCAUAUAAAUACUAUCAGCGGCAGCUUUUCCCAGAUAGCGGGAUAGCAGGUGACUGCUUUUGUUCCCUGUCCAGGAGCUUCAGAGUCACUGGCCAGAGCUCUGUGAAGACUCCGUUAUCUGUGCUGGAGACUGUGAUAUCUCAAAGUGGGGUUUUUUUUUUUUGGUGAGGAAGAUUGGCCCUGAGCUACCAUCUGUGCCAAUCUUCCUCUGUCUACGUGUGGGAUGCCACCACAGCAUGACUUGAUGAGUGGUAUGUAGGCCUGCACCUGGAUCCAAACCCGCAAACCCUGGGCCUGCAAAGUGGAGCGUGUGAACUUAACCACUACACCACCAGGAAAAAUGCAAGAAGAAUUUGAAGCUAAGCCGAUGGACUUUGUUUCACAAAUCCAGGUGGUUCUCAAUUAUUCUAAGAGGCACAGAAACUGCCUGAGAACAACGAUAGCCUCUUUGGAAAUGUGCCUAAAUUAAGAAGUGCUCCUUCAGUUUCUUCAGAAGAGCGAGCCUGUGUUUGCAUACACACACCUCGGCUUGUUUUCGCUUCCUCCCUGUGGUGACUUUGAUGAGGUGAGGGUUUGUGCUGGCAAAAUUCCGAAAUGCACACAAAUUGUGCUGUACUUUUAUUAAUGCAAGAUGGAAAACGUUAUUAAAAUAUUG
rnacentral:lncRNA from 1 species